GAUGAACGCUGGCGGCGUGCCUAAUACAUGCAAGUCGAGCGAACAGAUGAGGAGCUUGCUCCUCUGACGUUAGCGGCGGACGGGUGAGUAACACGUGGAUAACCUACCUAUAAGACUGGGAUAACUUCGGGAAACCGGAGCUAAUACCGGAUAAUAUAUUGAACCGCAUGGUUCAAUAGUGAAAGACGGUUUUGCUGUCACUUAUAGAUGGAUCCGCGCCGCAUUAGCUAGUUGGUAAGGUAACGGCUUACCAAGGCAACGAUGCGUAGCCGACCUGAGAGGGUGAUCGGCACCACGGGAACUGAGACACGGUCCAGACUCCUACGGGAGGCAGCAGUAGGGAAUCUUCCGCAAUGGGCGAAAGCCUGACGGAGCAACGCCGCGUGAGUGAUGAAGGUCUUCGGAUCGUAAAACUCUGUUAUUAGGGAAGAACAAAUGUGUAAGUAACUAUGCACGUCUUGACGGUACCUAAUCAGAAAGCCACGGCUAACUACGUG
rnacentral:rRNA from 1 species